AGACUUUGAUCCUGGCUCAGAUUGAACGCUGGCGGCAUGCCUUACACAUGCAAGUCGAACGGUAACAGCACUUCGGUGGCUGACGAGUGGCGAACGGGUGAGUAAUACAUCGGAACGUGCCCGAGAGUGGGGGAUAACGCAGCGAAAGCUGUGCUAAUACCGCAUACGAUCUACGGAUGAAAGCAGGGGACCGCAAGGCCUUGCGCUCAUGGAGCGGCCGAUGGCAGAUUAGGUAGUUGGUGGGAUAAAAGCUUACCAAGCCGACGAUCUGUAGCUGGUCUGAGAGGACGACCAGCCACACUGGGACUGAGACACGGCCCAGACUCCUACGGGAGGCAGCAGUGGGGAAUUUUGGACAAUGGGCGAAAGCCUGAUCCAGCCAUGCCGCGUGCAGGAUGAAGGCCUUCGGGUUGUAAACUGCUUUUGUACGGAACGAAAAGGUCUUUUCUAAUAAAGAAGGCUCAUGACGGUACCGUAAGAAUAAGCACCGGCUAACUACGUGCCAGCAGCCGCGGUAAUACGUAGGGUG
rnacentral:rRNA from 1 species